rnacentral:rRNA from 1 species
CCCAGAUGAAUGCUAGUGUUAGAGGGUUUCCAACUUUUAGUUCUGGCUCAGGAUGAACGCUGGCGGCGUGCCUAAUACAUGCAAGUCGAGCGAACUGAUUAGAAGCUUGCUUCUAUGACGUUAGCGGCGGACGGGUGAGUAACACGUGGGCAACCUGCCUGUAAGACUGGGAUAACUUCGGGAAACCGAAGCUAAUACCGGAUAGGAUCUUCUCCUUCAUGGGAGAUGAUUGAAAGAUGGUUUCGGCUAUCACUUACAGAUGGGCCCGCGGUGCAUUAGCUAGUUGGUGAGGUAACGGCUCACCAAGGCAACGAUGCAUAGCCGACCUGAGAGGGUGAUCGGCCACACUGGGACUGAGACACGGCCCAGACUCCUACGGGAGGCAGCAGUAGGGAAUCUUCCGCAAUGGACGAAAGUCUGACGGAGCAACGCCGCGUGAGUGAUGAAGGCUUUCGGGUCGUAAAACUCUGUUGUUAGGGAAGAACAAGUACGAGAGUAACUGCUCGUACCUUGACGGUACCUAACCAGAAAGCCACGGCUAACUACGUGCCAGCAGCCGCGGUAAUACGUAGGUGGCAAGCGUUAUCCGGAAUUAUUGGGCGUAAAGCGCGCGCAGGCGGUUUCUUAAGUCUGAUGUGAAAGCCCACGGCUCAACCGUGGAGGGUCAUUGGAAACUGGGGAACUUGAGUGCAGAAGAGAAAAGCGGAAUUCCACGUGUAGCGGUGAAAUGCGUAGAGAUGUGGAGGAACACCAGUGGCGAAGGCGGCUUUUUGGUCUGUAACUGACGCUGAGGCGCGAAAGCGUGGGGAGCAAACAGGAUUAGAUACCCUGGUAGUCCACGCCGUAAACGAUGAGUGCUAAGUGUUAGAGGGUUUCCGCCCUUUAGUGCUGCAGCUAACGCAUUAAGCAUUCCGCCUGGAGAC